UACGUAGGGUGCGAGCGUUGUCCGGAAUUAUUGGGCGUAAAGGGCUCGUAGGCGGUUUGUCGCGUCGGGAGUGAAAUCCACUGGCUUAACUGGUGGCUUGCUUUCGAUACGGGCAGACUGGAGGUAUGCAGGGGAGAACGGAAUUCCUGGUGUAGCGGUGAAAUGCGCAGAUAUCAGGAGGAACACCGGUGGCGAAGGCGGUUCUCUGGGCAUGUCCUGACGCUGAGACGCGAAAGCUAGGGGAGCGAACAGG
rnacentral:rRNA from 1 species